CUAGGCAUUGUUGGACUAUGUAAACUUCUUGUUUGGUUCUAAGCCUCCAUAGUUGUGAAUUUCAAAACUAAUCAACCCUGUUCAAACCAUUCUUUAUAAGAUGGGAUUUAGCUAUUUCCUGAUCAAUAACAAUAGAGAUACUUGGAAUAACAGAAUCAGGUCUUGGAAACUACAAUCUCCACCCUACUUAGGGUAACAAGAUUUAGGAAGGGCUGCAGCAAAACUCAAGAUUUAAUUAUUUGAGAAUAUGGCCUUCAACAGACAUGUGCAAAAAGGACAGACCUCUGGACGGUCCAAGGUCAAACUAGAGCCACCAUUGGCUCAGGUGAGAGACAGGAAGUGAAGUAGAGGACAGCUCAGGAAUUCUGGGGACUUCCUGUGUAGAAGGAGAGAGGUGGUUGGAGCCUGGUGCUUGGAGUGGAGGAGCCCACAGACUGUUCUCCAUUUUGGUCACAUUGCAAACUCCUUGAGAGCAGGGACUGUUACAAUUUGGGGGGUGUCUUCAGCACCUGGGACAGUGCCUGGCACAUGAUGGAGUUCAAAAUUUGCAUUGACUCAUGCUUUUUUUGAAACUUGAGCAAAGUGAUCCAGUCAGCCCCUGAUUCUCCACUCCAGCUGGUAGGGAACCAUGGGACAGGUUCCGAAGAGUUCAUGGACUCAUCUACUUUCACUCUCCCUCAUUCUACACAUGAGAGAACUGAGACCCAGAAAGGCUCACUUUGAUGUGCCCAAGGUCCUCCAAGAGAUCUAUAAUGGUGACAAGCUCAGGAACAAUGGGUCUUCUGCAUCCACUUGGGUUUUUCCAUUUGGAUGGUCAAGUCAAAUUCUUUUGAGUGGUUCUAGACCUUCUUAGAGUUGGAUGCAACCAGCACAAACCCAUCUACAAAAGACAUCAAAGGGACUUACCAUCUACAGAGACUCACUCUUGAAUUCUGACCUUGUGCUAGAUCUCCUGGGGAACAACUUUUCCCUCCUUGAAGUUACCUUUGAUGGUCAUAGAUAAAUGUAGAUGAAAAGAAUGUUAAACCUACUUAGGAGACAGAAUUAUAGAGGAUACUUUGGAAGAUAUAUGGAAUCAUGUCUGUUUAUUAAAUGC
rnacentral:lncRNA from 1 species